AAGUUAAAUGCCGGCCAAACCCUGUAUUCUGUGAAACAAAAAAUGAGAUUUUCUUUAUUGGCACGCCAAAAAGAAUUCUCAAAAAGAUGGAAAAAAAUGUACCAUUUGAUGCAUUUUCCACAAAAAGCCAAACCAUUUUUGCUCUGACCAUCAACUCAUUCAUCCAUGACUGGAGAAAGUAACGGCAAGUUAGAGAAGAAAGCUUCCAAAUUCCCCACCACAAGUUCACUCAAAGCCAGGAAAGAUUCGGGUGUAAAGACAGCAUUAUGGGGAGAUAAAACAACAUUUUCCAAUUCAAGGAGCUGUUUAGGAAUAUCAGGCUCCUUCUCAAACACAUCCAACCCUGCACCCGCAAUCUCUCCUUCCACCAAACACCUCACCAAUUCCUUCUCAUCAAUGAUAGCUCCACGUCCAAUGUUAACUAUGACUCCUUCUUUUCCUAAUGCACUCAAGACUUCCUUGUUGAUCAUGUGGCGGGGUUGAUCCGUCAAGGCACAACAAAUAAUGAGAGCAUCACUAUCAGCUGCGAGUUCACAAAUAUUGGAAUAGAAUGGGUAUGAAACAAACGUCUUUUUCUUUCUUGAAUUGUAAGAAAUAAUGCAGCCAAAAGCCUCCAGUCUUUUAGCAACUUGUAAGCCUAUGCCUCCCAAUCCAACUAUCCCAAUUCGCUUCCCUCCCAGCUUAGAACCAAGAGCAUAGUCCCCUUUCUUGACCCAAAGGCCCUGCCUCACGUACCGAUCAGCAGCGGAAAUCUUUCUCAAAACAUCAAACAACAAACCCACCGCAGCGUCCGCACCGUCGUCCGAAAACACGUUCCCGGCAUUGGUGACCGAAAUUCCCCGUCGGCAACAGGCCAUUAGGUCGAUGUGGUUGGUACCAGCACUGGCAGCGACAACUAAUCUCACCGAGGGAAGUAACUGGAGUAGGUCGUCAGUGACAGGAGCAGCACCAGAGCAGAGAAUGGCUUGGAUAGAAUUGGCAUAUUUGGUGAGGAACUGGUAAAGAGGAAGCGGCGAUUCCCAUGCUUUCAAGAACUGAUAUUUGUUUGAUGAAAAUUGAUGCUCUCCAAGAACCGCCAACUGGGGUUGGUUUUAAGAGCAGGACUUGUGGGAGAUCUUCGGAUUGGUGAUUCUGAUUGUGAUCUUUAUUUUCCAUAAAUUGUGAUCUUGAAAAAAUG
rnacentral:misc_RNA from 1 species